CCAGCAGCUGCGGUAAUUCCAGCUCCAAUAGCGUAUAUUAAAGUUGUUGCGGUUAAAAAGCUCGUAGUCGGAUUUCUGCCAAGGACGACCGAUCCACCUUCGGGUGCGCAUCAGUGUUGACCGAGGCAUUCUCCCUUCUCUGUCCACUUAAUUGGGGGCACGGGAUCGGACUUUUACUUUGAGGAAAUUAGAGUGUUUCAAGCAGGCAUACGCCUUGAAUACAUUAGCAUGGAAUAAUAAUAUAGGACUUCGGUUCUAUUUUGUUGGUUUCGAGAACUGAAGUAAUGAUUAAUAGGGACAGUCGGGGGCAUUCGUACUCAACAGUCAGAGGUGAAAUUCUUGGAUUUGUUGGAGACGAACUACUGCGAAAGCAUUUGCCAAGGAUGUUUUCAUUGAUCAAGAACGAAAGU
rnacentral:rRNA from 1 species